AGAGGAUUCACCAGCAAGAUGUGAAGGAAGUCAGUCGUAGAGUAUGGAGGAGAGUAUCUGUCCUGGGUCAGGAUGGCCACCCAACUCUGUGAUAUGGAGACAGAGAACAAUGUCAAACAACCCAGGAAAGGAUACUAUGUACUUGACAACAGCUAAGAGGUGAAAGGAAAUUGAAUGGAAACACAGUUCAUAACAAUUUGUAAGCCAAAAAUAAAUUAUGUUAAUAAUUGAACAUGAGGCUCUGGAUUAAGGUCUCACAAGUGUGAUACUCAUCCUUCAGUGAUCAUGAACUGAUGAAGCUAAGCAGUCUACUCUGUUACAUGAGUCUACCAUGGUGAAUGCCACAAUCUUCAAAGCAAUUUUGUCAGCUCUCCAUAACUAACACGUUGGAAGCCACAAGAUGAAGUGUUUCCCUCUUGUAAGGUUCUAGUUACGGAAGCAACCCUCCUAGAUGAAUUUCUAGACAGAAACAUUCUGAGCUGAUUUUCCUCCCUGAACUUAUUCACUUUUGGAAUUUUAAAAUGUUCGAAGUCCAGAAACAAGAAAGAGAAGACCUGGAAGAAACAGAAAUCAAAUUUGUGGGGGAGAAGCUAAACAUGCCCUCCACUUCCCACUUUGCAAACUAUCAACCAGAUAAUCACAGUCGUAAGAGGAAGCUAUAAAUGUCACUCCAACCAGUCACCCUUUGCCUAGUAGGACCAGUGUGCAAACUCUUACUAAUAAAGCACAAUUCAUCGUGCGCUUUUCAGCUUCCAGACUGUGCACAAUAUUAUGAAUUCUACAGAAACAGGGCUUCAGAUUUUAAUUUUGCUCUCUUCCUAGGCUGGUGAUUCAUAACACAAUGCCCUUGAACUAGUUACUGGAGCCCUGUGUCAGUCCAUGAUUCUGCCGAUAACUCAAGGUACGCCUGCAUCUGCACAUUGCUACCCAGCUAUUGUGUUCGGAAGCUAGAACAUCAACUCCACUUUCAAUUUAAAAUAUUUCAUUUUAUGGAAUGCUACUGUUACAGUUCCACUGUAAACUGAGAUGCAUCUGCGCUAUUUUCUACGAAAGCCAAACAACA